GACGAACGCUGGCGGCGUGCUUAACACAUGCAAGUCGAACGAAGUGGCGCACGGGUGAGUAACGCGUAAUCAACCUGCCCUUCAGAGGGGGACAACAGUUGGAAACGACUGCUAAUACCGCAUACUGAAGGAGGGGAUUGCGUCUGAUUAGCUGGGUGGAGGGGUAACGGCCCACCAGGGCGAUGAUCAGUAGCCGGGUUGAGAAGAGGAACGGCCACAAUGGGACUGGGAAACGGCCCAGACUCCUACGGGAGGGAGCAGUGGGGAAUCUUCCUCAAUGGAGGAAAGGCUGGAGGAGCAACGCCGCGUGAGUGAUGACGGCCGUCGGGUUGUAAAGCUCUUUUAAGCGGGACGCGGUACCGGAAUAGAAAGCCACGGCUAACUACGUGCCAGCAGCCGCGGUAAUUC
rnacentral:rRNA from 1 species